rnacentral:rRNA from 1 species
UACAGAGGUCCCAAGCGUUUGUUCGGAUUCACUGGGUUUAAAGGGUGCGUAGGUGGGUUGAUAAGUCAGUGGUGAAAUCCCCGAGCUUAACUUGGGAACUGCCAUUGAUACUAUUGAUCUUGAAUACCGUGGAGGUCAGCGGAAUAUGUCAUGUAGCGGUGAAAUGCUUAGAUAUGACAUAGAACACCAAUUGCGAAGGCAGCUGGCUACGCGAAUAUUGACACUGAUGCACGAAAGCGUGGGGAUCAAACAGG